UUGGGGCAUCGGCGGCGUCGCGGCGGUGACGUCAGCAGCGCGCCGGCGCCGCCGCGGGCCCCGGGACCGGAACCGGGAGCGGGAGCGGCGGGGCCGGGGCCGGGGCCGGGGCCGGGGGCCGGGGCGGGGGCGGGGGCGGCCAUGGCGGGGCGCUGCCCGCUGGUGGAGGACAGCUUCACGCGUCUCGCCUCGCAGAGCAACGUGUACGGGCUGGCGGCGCUGGCGGGCGGCGCGGGCCCCGGCGGGCUGCUGGCCGCCACGCUCAAGGGGAAGGUGCUCUACUUCCGCUACCAAGACCUGCGCCAGCGCCUGCGGCCCGUCGCCCGCGAGCUGCAGUUCACCUACAUCCCGGUCGACGCCGAGAUCGUCUCCAUCGACUCCUUCCAGAAGUCGCCCCCGAAACGCGGCCUCGUGGUGGGAAUCACCUUCAUCAAGGACUCCGGCGACAAGGCCAGCCCCUUCCUCAACAUCUACUGCGACUACGAGCCGGGCUCCGAGUACGACCUGGACUCCAUUGCGCAAAGCUGCUUGAACCUGGAGCUGCAGUUCACGCCCUUCCAGCUGCACCACGCCGAGGUCUGCGUCGGCGACAAGCCGGAGACCGUCUUCCUGCUGAGCGGCAACGACCCCGGCAUCCACCUGUACAAGGAGAAUGAAGGUCUGCACCAGUUUGAGGAACAGCCGGUCCAGAACCUCUUUCCCGAGCUCCAGGAGCUGCCGAGCAACGUGCUGUGGCUGGACGUCUGCAACAUCCCCGGCUCGAGCCAGCGCAUCACCGCCUUCGGCUGCCAGAGCGGCUACAUCCGCGUCGCCCAGGUGGACCAGGCCAGCCGAGUGGUGCUGCAGAGCUGGAGCAUCCAGCAGGACGGCCCCGUUUCCAAGGUGCUGGUGUUCACGCUGCCGUCGGCCUGUCCUCCGGGGCCGCCGGGCACCGACGCAGCCGACAACGGCGAAGCCGGCGCCCCGCAGGGCUACAGCGUCCUCGUCACCAGCACCAUCGAGCUCUCCGUGGUGUACAGGGACGUGCUGACGAGGGGCCUGGGGGACCAGCUGACCUUGCCGGGCAGCGACCAGUACGACAGCGUGCUCUGCGCCCUGGUGACCGACGUGGACUUCGACGGCGCCCGGGAGAUCCUGCUGGGCACCUACGGGCAGCGUGUGUCCGUCUCUCCGCGCCGCAGGAGCUGCUCUGCUACAAGUACCGGAGCCCCGAGGCUCCCGGCGCCGCGGGCCCGCGGGGCGGCGAGUUCCAGCUGCUCUGGAAGCGGAGCUUCCCCAGCCCGCUGCUCUCCAUGCAGUACGCGGACCUGACCUCGGACGGGCUCUGCGAGCUGGCCGUGGUGUGCCUCAAGGGGCUGCACGUCCUCCAGCACAGCCUGGUGCAGGCGGCGCAGUGCGUCCUGGAGAGGCUCCGCGGGGAAGCGGCGCGCAGAGCCCAGCGCGGCCUCGGCCCCCCCGACGGGGCCGCGACGGCGGAGUGACGGCGCGGCCGGGCCGCAGGCGACGGAGAAGGACGGCGCCUCGGCGAGGGACGAGCCCCGACGCGGGAAAACACCGCCGGCAUCCUCCCGCCUCGCCGCCGAGGCCGGAGCCAGCGCGGGCGGAUCCUGGCCUCCGUCUUAGCGAGGCUCUGGCCAACUUGGAUGUAAAUUUGUGGCGCCCCAGGCAGUAAACACGCACGUGUGCCCGG